GAUGAACGCUGGCGGCGUGCCUAAUACAUGCAAGUCGAGCGAACGGACGAGAAGCUUGCUUCUCUGAUGUUAGCGGCGGACGGGUGAGUAACACGUGGAUAACCUACCUAUAAGACUGGGAUAACUUCGGGAAACCGGAGCUAAUACCGGAUAAUAUUUUGAACCGCAUGGUUCAAAAGUGAAAGACGGUCUUGCUGUCACUUAUAGAUGGAUCCGCGCUGCAUUAGCUAGUUGGUAAGGUAACGGCUUACCAAGGCAACGAUGCAUAGCCGACCUGAGAGGGUGGUCGGCCACACUGGAACUGAGACGCGGUCCAGACUCCGGCGGGAGGCAGCAGUAGGGAAUCUUCCGCGAUGGGCGAAAGCCUGACGGAGCAACGCCGCGUGAAUGAUGAAGGUCUUCGGAUCGUAGAACUCUGUUAUUAGGGAAGAGCAUAUGUGUAAGUAACUGUGCACAUCUUGACGGUACCUAAUCAGAAAGCCACGGCUAACUACGUG
rnacentral:rRNA from 1 species